AUUGAACGCUGGCGGCAGGCCUAACACAUGCAAGUCGAGCGAGUGGCGGACGGGUGAGGAAUAUAUGGGGAUCUGCUUGAUGGAGGGGGAUAACUACUGGAAACGGUAGCUAAUACCGCAUACGAUCGGAUGAACCGAUAUGGGAUUAGCUUGUAGGUGAGGUAACGGCUCACCUAGGCGACGAUCCCUAGCUGGUCUGAGAGGAUGAUCAGCCACACUUGAACUGAGACACGGCCCAGACUCCUACGGGAGGCAGCAGUGGGGAAUAGUGCACAAUGGGCGCAAGCCUGAUCCAGCCAUGCCGCGUGGAUGAAGAAGGCCUUCGGGUUGUAAAGUACUUUCAUUCGGAAAGCGUUACCCACAGAAGAAGCACCGGCUAACUCCGUGCCAGCAGCCGCGGUAAUUC
rnacentral:rRNA from 1 species